rnacentral:lncRNA from 1 species
UUGAUCCAGCACCACCCAAUGCUACUGCAUCAAGGUUCAAAUUCCUGCAAUAAUACCAGCCGCCUGACGCAGACAGAAGCUAGAGGAUUAGAUGCACUUCUUAUCUUCAAGGAAUAAAUAUCAUAAUGCUUGGUCUAUAAAAAGGAGGAGCCAAGGAGAUCAGAAACCAGACCAGCCUCAGCUCUUCUAAAACUCCAGGUAGACAGUGUCCGACAUGAGCUGCUACCAGGAAAGGUUUUCCUCGGAGGAUGACUACUGCACCUACGCGUCGAAAAUGGAGAAGAAGACAGACAUGACUAAAGGGCCUCACUUCCCUCAGCUUCACACUGUGAUCAAGCACAAGGAGGUCCAUAUGGAAGAGGACGAGUCACGCCCUGGAAUCUUUGGCCGGCCGAGGCACGAGGAGUGGUCUGAAGAGGAGACCUAUGAAAUGUCUGAGACCACCUACGCAGGCGACAUGGGCAUGAAAGGGGGAGAGCGCAUCAGGCGCAAGGUGUAUAUAUGAGACUAUCAUCUAUAUAUAGUUCUGUGGUGAUGGAUGCCAUGGCUUGGCAUCUUUAUAUAUAGAAUAAAUCUCGGGCUUAUCUGCUGUAUAUCCAUAUGAAUAAUACUAUACUUCUCUAGUACUCAAGCUAUAGCUCUAUACUUUAGCCUACUACAUUCACUCUUGAUAUCUUUAGUACGCGCGUGUUUUCAGGUAAAUUUUUUGAGAAUACUACCCAACUCUUUCCCCCUUCAUUUUGAUAAUAUAAUCGGGAAAGAAGUAGGCUAGUCUCCGCUUUGAAUCCUAAAUAUAUUGGUGCAAGAUCGACCGAUGGCAUUCUAAAAUGUUGAUCCAAGCCACUGAUAAUGAUAUAUAUAACAUGUAAGACAUCCGCAAGAAUCAAGUAUUUUGUAAGUUAUCUAUCUAUUAUGCAUCAAGGGGAUGCAAAUGGACGGCAUGAGUAGUGCUAAUGUGUUAAAAUGCAUGAUAGGGUGUGAGAAAAAUUUUGAAUCCAGUCCAUCGAUUAUGAUCGCUCCAUAGAAAGCAUAUGUCAAAUAAAGUUCAAUAUGUUUGAGCACUUCUAAGUCAUAUGUAAACAUGAACUAGAUCGAACAACAUGUAUGAUGAAACCUUUUUGUUUUUGAAGAUUGUUUAUAAAAGGUUUUUGAGCUUUUGGAAGCAAAGUUUAUAGCUUUCAUAAAAAGAGUGAAAAUAAAAUCAAGGAAUAGUAAAAGUUUUGUGCAGAUGCUACCUCGGACAUCAAUCUGCAUGUAGGAAUAGCCAAAUAGGACCUGCAACUCUGUUUCCUAGGGGAAAAAAAAAAAAGCUGAGAUUUUAGGGACGGUUGCAAAAUGUUGCAGUUCCCGUUUUCUUCAGAUUUUCUAAAGCUGGAACUUUCUCGGUUUUGUUACUUCAAGUUCCUUUCUGAGAACUCAGAAAUUCUAACAUAUUUCUGUAGCAAUUUCCGAAGCUGUUUUAAUGAAGCUGUAACUACUACCUAUCAUUAUGGUUUUUAACUUACAGGCUUGAAGCAUAACGCGCUCCCAGUUGCACCCCUAUUUUAAGUGUCUUUGGAGCAUUUUUCAAGACAAAACGAGAACAUAGGAUAAUUUUUGGCCCAGAUCUUGCCACAUAUCGCCGCAAGUGUUGGCUGAUUCUCCUUCUUGAUUAAAGCAGACAAUGCCAGUGAUCAAACACAACAUAAGUUCACGUAUAUAAGCAAUUCACUAAGAUCUACACCAAAGAGGUGCAGUGGCAAAGAAGCAACCAACUCAGAGAACCUUUGGAAGAAGGCUUAGCCCAAAGAAGGCACAAACUUUGCCCUCCCCUGAGGCCAUCCUUUCAGAUCCCUCGGUUCCCACCACCUUCUCUCUCCCUCUCUCCUGCGGACGUGCCGGUGCUGCAGCGCAGAGAGAGACCCUGCAUCAAUGCCAUGCGGAUUCGUGCAAAGCAAACUAACGUUCCCCAUGCCAAAAGCGGAUUACUCUACUGCCUCUAUAUAUAGAUCUCUUGCUUUCUUCUCAGCUCGCCACUCUUUCUUCCACCGAUUCUUCCAGAAUUAAUAUUAGAGCCAUGGCUGUCUUCCGUCGAGCCUAUUUGUUUCGAGAUAUCUUCCGUUGAUGAGUGACUUGCUCGUCUUUCAUGGUCACUUGACGACGUUGGUGCCCUGAAGUCGCGCCAAUGGCAACCUCGCGUUGACGUGGGGGGAAUUAAGCUCGUUUCUAUGGGUGCUCUUCUUGCUUUAUUUUCCGCUUUCUGCUCUCUAACGUAUGGGAAUUGAUUUGUGUGAGGUUGGAAGGGGAUCCAAGUGUAUGGUGAUAUAAUAGCAGCCUUAAAUAUCAGCUUUUUGCUAUUCUAAUAUUGGGUUCGGGUUGUAUCUUCCGUGGGAAAGAAUGAUUCAUCUUUUUUUUCCACGAGGUCAACCAUUGGAUUGUGCAACGGCCACUUUAAGAUCUGUGCAGGUGGAUGAAAAAAAAAAGAGUUUGGUGUGCUUUGGAUCAUUCUUUCACGUGAAAGAUACAACCUAGAUCCUUUGAUAUAUGCACAUUUCCGAAGUGGUCAAAGUGUUUACCAUAAAGAAGAUUGGAGUCUUGAGUGCUCAAAAGAUGUUCGUAGCUAUAAGUGAGGUUGCAUAUUGCACCUAUAAGACUUAUUGAAUGUAUAGUGAUUGUAUGGAGUUCCUCCUCCACCAAGAUGGUCAUGACCUCGCAUUAAGAAUUGGCUGUGUUGUUAUAUUGAAUAAUCAAUAUUAACAAUCCACUUUAAAAAUCAUUGUCAAGGAUAGAGAUGCGAACUUGGUUGAAAUAGCUUAUAAGUGGUCCCUUAACUUGAAAUAAUAGAAUACCUUACUACAAUUUUGUGACAAAAUCCAUGUAUUAAUAAUGAUACCCUUGAUAAGAGGCAUAGUGGUUUAUUGGAUUCAGAUACAAAUAAGGGUCUAGUUGUCCAACAUGAAAUCAACCAUAUGUUACAAUGUUAAUAUUAAAACAUAGAGAUGGUCAGACAUAUGAGACCCACAACCCAGCUAAUUACUUAAAGUUUUAAAAAUAAUUAUUUUGGAAAAAAAUAUUAUUAAGAACAAUGGUAAAUUAUUUUCAAAAGGUUUCAUGUGCAUUGAAAUCCAAUCCAAUCCACCACCAUAAGCUCUCUCACGCGCGCAUAUAUAUAUAUAUAUAUAUAUAUAUAUUCGUUAUAUAUAUAUAUAUAUAUAUAUAUAUAUUCGAAUUUGCCCCUCUUGGUUUCAAGUUAGCAUGUUUUAUAGAAUGGCAAUUUUAGAUGAAGUUUGGUCUAGGACCUCUAGGUAUAGAUGUGUAGGAAUAGAUUUGCACAAUUUGAUGAGUCGGUGAAUAUUUUGGUGUAAUUUGACAUAUUCAAUAUUCUAUUUUGCAUGGUUGCAAUUUUCUGUUUUCAAUUUUCCUUAAAAACUAAAGAAAUUGCCACGGGAAUGGUGUUUGAUAAUCUAUUUUCUUUUUUAGUUUUUUUGAAAACUUUUUCUUAGUUUCUAAAAAUUUAUGCAAGUUUAAAAUUUUGUUUCCAAAAUUUCUAAAAAUCAAACCACUCAUGAUCCUCCACCAUCAUCUUUGUUGCUAUUGCCUCUGUCACCACCUAUCAACCACUAUCCUCUCGCCAACCACAAUCAUCUCCACUAUCACUGCAAUCAGCAUUGCUAACAUUGCUGCCAAAUGCAUUCCAUGCAACCAUUAGAUGUUAGGUUUUUGAUUGAAGGAGGCUUGUUUGAGGAAUCUCUUUUAGAGAUGUAACGUGAAAGAUAAAUGGAGAAUCGACCUUGCGACCUAGAGAGGGGAAUUUCAAAAAAUUCGAUGAAAAGAGAGAAAAAGAAGGGAAUAUAUAUUUGUGGUGUGGUUAACUAAGCUGAUUGAUAUUGAUGGUAUUCGAAUUUGAUAAGACAAGGAUUAGAAUUCUUUCAUAUGAAGUAUGCGAAUGAAGAACUGGUGGUCUAGAUCAUUGAGGAAUGAGAAUAAGAAAGCGAGCAAUGAAGAUAGGAGGUGGGUCCUAAAAUUUAAAGGGGCAAGGAGGCUGCACUGGAACUAUUUGGAAAUCCCAAGAACAUUUAAUUUCUCAGGAUGGCCAUGGCCCUUGCCCCCUCCCCUGCCGGUUCCAGCAUUCACAAACUGAUGCAUUCUUUUAGUCUUCUAAAUCUACUUCAUAUAGUUUCUAGGAGCUUGGGUUGUCUCUAUGGUUCAUAAACCUUACAAGAAUGUUUACCUUCUGAUGUCAGCAUAUGAUAUAUAACGAUGACAAGUGCCUCUACCUGUGGGUCGAUGAAGAAUGGUAUGAUCAAUUCAGGUUUCCAAGCACAGAAGAACGGUACAAAGAUAGCAGCAGCAAGACAUUCAAACAUUGUUGAUCUCAGAAAACCAUGUUGCCCAUGCUGUAACGCAGCACUGGUUUGUAAGCUAGGAAAUGAUCAAGGAAUAGGAUGGACUCCAAUGGACACAGGCCUAUGUGAACUUGGAGAGGAGCACUGUACUAGUAAAGUGAAUGCAACUCAGCUAUGGUGCUCAUAUUCUGCCCCUAUGUAAAUUUCAAACUUCUCUCUUUUUCUUCUUGGGAAAUAUCGAACCUAUUCAACCAUCUGAUGGUGAUUACAAACAUUUUAAACUAACUUUUUCCAGAGCAAUUCCAAACGGUGGAGAAAUUGUUUGCAUAUGAUGAGGUAUGGGAUCACAAAGUAAUAUAAUUAUUGUCGAGUAUAUCUUUGAGUUUACGGGCUCUAGAAAGGCAAAAAAAAUCUUUUCCCCCAUGAGAGAAGCAAGUGGUGCAGAGUGCAAAGAGCGAAGCAAGCAUUAGCAUCCUUGUUUUAUUUGGGCCGCACAGGAUGAGAUAAAUUUAUUUAUAUAUUGUUCUAGAAACCGACAUUAGCAUCAGUGGGUGCUUCCAAUACCACCCAAAGCUACUGCAUCAAGGUUCAAAUUCAUGCAAUAACACUAGCCGCCUGACGCAGACAGAAGUUAGAGGAUUAGAUGCGCUUCUUAUCUUUUUUCUUUUUUUUUGGUACAGAUGCACUUCUUAUCUUCAAGGAAUAAAUAUCAUAAGGCUUGGUCUAUAAAAAGGAGGAGCCAAGGAGCUCAGAAACCAGACCAGCCUCAGCUCUUCUAAAACUCCAGGUAGACAGUGUCCAACAUGAGCUGCACCUACGAGUCGAAAAUGGAGAAGACAAGCAUGACUGAAGGGCCUCACUCCCCUCAGCUUCACACUGUGAUCAAGCACAAGGAGGUCCAUGAGGAAGAGGAGAAGCCACGCCACGGAAUCUUCGGCCGGCCAAGGAACAAGGAGUGGUCUGAAGAGGAGACCUAUGAAAUCUCUGAGACAACCUACGCAGGCGACAUGGGCAUGCAAGGAGGAGAGUGCAUCAGGCGCAAGGAGUAUAUAUGAGACCAUACAUCAAGGCAGCUUGAGAGCAUCAUCUAUCUAUAGUUCUGUGAUGAUGGAUGCCAUGGCUUGGCAUCUUUAUAUAUAGAAUAAAUCUCUGGCUUAUCUACUGUAUAUCCAUAUGAAUAAUACUAUACUUCUCUAGUACUCAAGGUAUAGCUCUAUACUUUAGCCUACUACAUUCACUCUUGAUAUCUUUAGUACGCGCGUGUUUUCAGGUAGAUUUUUUGAGAAUACUACACCAACUCUUUCCCCCUUCAUUUUGAUAAUAUAAUCGGGAAAGAAGUAGGCUAGUCUCCGCUUUGAAUCCUAAAUAUAUUGGUGCAAGAUCGACCGAUGGCAUUCUAAAAUGUUGAUCCAAGCCACUGAUAAUGAUAUAUAUAACAUGCAAGACAUCCGCAAGAAUCAAGUAUUUUGUAAGUUUUCUAUCUAUUAUGCAUCAAGAGGAUGCAACUGGACGGCAUGAGUAGUGCUAAUGUGUUAAAAUGCAUGAUAGGGUGUGAGAAAAAUUUUGAAUCCAGUCCGUCGAUUAUGAUCGCUCCAUAGAAAGCAUAUGUGAAAUAAAGUUCAAUAUGUUUGCUUCUAAGUCACAUGAAAACAUGAACUCGAUCCAACAACAUGUGUGAUGAAACCUUUUUGUUUUUGAAGAUUGUUUGUAAAAGUUUUUGAGCUUUUGGAAGCAAAGUUUAUAGCUUUCAUAGAAGGAGUGAAAAUAAAGCAAGGAAUAGAAAAAGUUUUGUACAGAUGCCACCUUGGACAUCAAUCUGCAUGUGGUAUUUCAC